UACGUAGGGCACAAGCGUUAUCCGGAAUUAUUGGGCGUAAAGAGCUCGUAGGCGGUUUGUCGCGUCUGCCGUGAAAGUCCGGGGCUCAACUCCGGAUCUGCGGUGGGUACGGGCAGACUAGAGUGCAGUAGGGGAGACUGGAAUUCCUGGUGUAGCGGUGAAAUGCGCAGAUAUCAGGAGGAACACCGAUGGCGAAGGCAGGUCUCUGGGCCACUACUGACGCUGAGAAGCGAAAGCAUGGGGAGCAAACAGG
rnacentral:rRNA from 1 species